AACACUACUUAAAGUUUGUUGCCAACCGCCAUAAAACUCCACAAGAAGAAGAAGAAGAAGAAGAAGAAGAAGUGGACUGUCUCGUACAACAUACUGCCGAUAUGAAUGAGCGGUUCACUCAACUACAGAAUUCGGUAACCUGCAGGUUGCUGUCCAUAGAGGACAUGUUGGCGGCUUUGCAGUCGAACAACUGUGCGGUAGAGACUAACUCCAAGAAGAGAAGACGGGUGCACAAUCCCAAGCUUGCGGAAGCAGUACGCCGUCUUCACAACUCGGAGAGAAAUUGCAGGGACUAUGAACCGGAGCAAGGCGGUGACCUCCUAUUUGCUCUGAGCAAUAUCUGCAAGUCCAGAUUUACACGAUGUUGAUAAAGACGACAUUGUGUCCGCCUGUAAAACCUAUUAUGAGACGGUACGCAGGAGCUUUAGAUAUGCCCAGCCAGAAAACUCGUUGCGGGCGGAAGCUGCCAAGAGUUCAGCUCGGAGUCGAGCGAGAACAAAGAGGCUGCUAUAAUAGAGGCAGAGUGUGCUAGCGGAUGACGAGGUGGAACUCUGGAAGUCCGCCACCGUGGACCUCAUGUGUGACGAAGAAGAUGGCGUUGUUGGCGGGGUCUCUGGAUGGAUUGUACGGCCGCCGUCAUUUCGUAGGCCGGAUCUCUCUGAACUCUGUGUGAAACUGCAGUCCCGGUUAGAGGCGACGCCGAAGUACAAAGCCAUGCACAGCAGGCGUCUGCACAACGGACCUGCCUCGGAAAGAACGCCGCCAGUUACCUACAACCCCGAGGAGGCAAACGGACAGUUCACGGAGUUGUAGUUUUUGGAUACCCCUGUGUGGGCAGAUCCUUGCGUUGUAUAUAGUUGUGUUUGUUUUAAUAAAGCUCUUUCUUUGCAUAAA